rnacentral:tRNA from 1 species
GCCGCGGUGGCGGAAUUGGCAGACGCGCUGGACUUAGAAUCCAGUCUCGCAAGAGGUGGGAGUUCGACUCUCCCCCGCGGCA